rnacentral:pre_miRNA from 1 species
AUAGUAGUAUUGACCUCAGUCCACAUGUGUUAAGGUGGAUUGGGUGUAAAUUAGUUUAAGUUACACACCAAUCCACCCUAAUACAUGUGGAUUAGGUCAAUGCUAGA